ensembl:misc_RNA Metazoa_SRP Metazoan signal recognition particle RNA
GCUAGGUGUGAUGUAUACUUGUAGUCCCAGCUAUUCAGGAGGCUGAGGCAGGAGGAUUGCUUGAGCCCAGGACUUCCAGGCUAUAGUGCACUAUGCUGAGUGAUCAGGUGUUCACAUUAAGUUCAACAUCAAUAUGGUGACCUCUGAGGAGUGGGUGACCACCAGGUUUCCAAAAGAGGGGUGAAUUGGACAAAGUUGGAAAUGGAGCAAGUCAAAACUCCCAUGCUAAUCAGUAGUGGGCCCUUGCUUGUGAGUACCCAAAGCACUCCAGCCUGGGCAACAUAGCGAGACCUCAUCUCUU